rnacentral:rRNA from 1 species
UACGUAGGUGACAAGCGUUGUCCGGAUUUACUGGGCGUAAAGAGCGCGCAGGCGGUCGAUCAAGUCGAGUGUGAAAGCCCCCGGCUCAACUGGGGAGGGUCAUUCGAUACUGUCCGACUCGAAGGCAGGAGAGGGAAGCGGAAUUCCCGGUGUAGUGGUGAAAUGCGUAGAUAUCGGGAGGAACACCAGUGGCGAAGGCGGCCUUCUGGCCUGUUCUUGACGCUGAGGCGCGAAAGCUAGGGGAGCGAACGGG